rnacentral:rRNA from 1 species
GACGAACGCUGGCGGCGUGCCUAAUACAUGCAAGUAGAACGCUGAAGAGAGGAGCUUACUCUUCUUGGAUGAGUUGCGAACGGGUGAGUAACGCGUAGGUAACCUGCCUUUUAGCGGGGGAUAACUAUUGGAAACGAUAGCUAAUACCGCAUAACAAUGGAUGACACAUGUCAUUUAUUUGAAAGGGGCAAUUGCUCCACUACAAGAUGGACCUGCGUUGUAUUAGCUAGUAGGUGAGGUAAUGGCUCACCUAGGCGACGAUACAUAGCCGACCUGAGAGGGUGAUCGGCCACACUGGGACUGAGACACGGCCCAGACUCCUACGGGAGGCAGCAGUAGGGAAUCUUCGGCAAUGGGGGCAACCCUGACCGAGCAACGCCGCGUGAGUGAAGAAGGUUUUCGGAUCGUAAAGCUCUGUUGUAAGUCAAGAACGGGUGUGAGAGUGGAAAGUUCACACUGUGACGGUAGCUUACCAGAAAGGGACGGCUAACUACGUG